UGAAACAUUUCCAAAUUUAGAUACAGAUCCAUUAACAUUCUGAAAUUCAGCCUACAAAAAAAAAGACUAAAAGUUAAUCUCUGCAUUUUUUAGUAACAUCCAUAAUGUGUCAACUAUAAGAUAUAUAGUCAGGAGAGUUCAAAACGUUAUCUGUAAUGGUCAAUUUCAGAGUUCGGAUAGAACAAGUACUUUUCCAUAGAGAUAAGCGACAUAAAUGACCAAAUUGGAAAAACAUGGCUCAUGAGGCAGAAAGUCGAAGAAGGAGCAGACUCUAGACAGACACCUGCAGCUGUCAAUUUGUCAAUUCAAAUGGAUCUAGGAGCUCAAACACUUUCACUUGGCCAUCUGAAUACGCAGCAACCUAUGGAAAGAAAAUAGUGAAAUAUGUACAAUGCUUGGGUCCUUUUGAUGGAUCGGUCGGGUCAGGUUUGGGUUUUAUUUAAAAACGGG
rnacentral:lncRNA from 1 species